CCUACGGGUGGCAGCAGUGAGGAAUAUUGGUCAAUGGACGAGAGUCUGAACCAGCCAAGUAGCGUGAAGGAUGACUGCCCUAUGGGUUGUAAACUUCUUUUAUAUGGGAAUAAAAUGUUCCACGUGUGGGAUUUUGUAUGUACCAUAUGAAUAAGGAUCGGCUAACUCCGUGCCAGCAGCCGCGGUAAUACGGAGGAUCCGAGCGUUAUCCGGCUUUAUUGGGUUUAAAGUGAGCGUAGGUGGAUUGUUAAGUCAGUUGUGAAAGUUUGCGGCUCAACCGUAAAAUUGCAGUUGAAACUGGCAGUCUUGAGUACAGGAGAGGUGGGCGGAAUUCGUGGUGUAGCGGUGAAAUGCUUAGAUAUCACGAAGAACUCCGAUUGCGAAGGCAGUUCACUGGACUGCAACUGACACUGAGGCUCGAAAGUGUGGGUAUCAAACAGGAUUAGAUACCCGGGUAGUC
rnacentral:rRNA from 1 species